rnacentral:lncRNA from 1 species
AAAUUUGUGUCGCCAAAAUGCAACCAGAAGAUUAAAUCUUCCAUCAACACCAAAAAUGAAGCAAAACCAUUGUCCAUUGUCAAAUUGCAUCAACCAUUCAAUCAUGAAAAUUGAUAUGAUGUCAUCAUAAAUCAUAAUUGAAUCGACUUAAGGCUACCGGUGAUAUUCCUCUUAAAAUUCAGGUCUGAUGAAAAAUCUUGGCUUGCCUUAAUUUCUAGACGUGAAUUUAUCAAGACACAUCUUACUAUAUUGGUUGAUAGAAAAGAUUAUGCACACCACAUCCUUAUGCUAGCCCAACACAGGUGCGUAUUUGGUAAUGGAUAUUAAUAUUGUUUUA